AUCCAGACGAUCAGUCCAAAAUAGAACGUAAUGCUCAUCCUGGAU
rnacentral:hammerhead_ribozyme from 1 species